ACUACAGAGGUCUAAUGACACAGUGACUACAGAGGUCUAAUGACACAGUGACUACAGAGGUCUAAUGACACAGUGACUACAGAGGCCUAAUGACACAGUGACUACAGAGGUCUAAUGACACAGUGACUACAGAGGCCUAAUGACACAGUGACUACAGAGGCCUAAUGACACAGUGACUACAGAGGUCUAAUGACACAGUGACUACAGAGGCCUAAUGACACAGUGACUACAGAGGUCUAAUGACACAGUGACUACAGAGGCCUAAUGACACAGUGACUACAGAGGCCUAAUGACACAGUGACUACAGAGGUCUAAUGACACAGUGACUACAGAGGCCUAAUGACACAGUGACUACAGAGGCCUAAUGACACAGUGACUACAGAGGUCUAAUGACACAGUGACUACAGAGGCCUAAUGACACAGUGACUACAGAGGCCUAAUGACACAGUGACUACAGAGGUCUAAUGACACAGUGACUACAGAGGCCUAAUGACACAGUGACUACAGAGGCCUAAUGACACAGUGACUACAGAGGCCUAAUGACA